rnacentral:rRNA from 1 species
GUACACUCCUGCGGGAGGCAGCAGUGGGGAAUUUUGGACAAUGGGCGAAAGCCUGAUCCAGCAAUGCCGCGUGUGUGAAGAAGGCCUUCGGGUUGUAAAGCACUUUUGUCCGGAAAGAAAUCCUUGGCUCUAAUACAGUCGGGGGAUGACGGUACCGGAAGAAUAAGCACCGGCUAACUACGUGCCAGCAGCCGCGGUAAUACGUAGGGUGCGAGCGUUAAUCGGAAUUACUGGGCGUAAAGCGUGCGCAGGCGGUUUGCUAAGACCGAUGUGAAAUCCCCGGGCUCAACCUGGGAACUGCAUUGGUGACUGGCAGGCUAGAGUAUGGCAGAGGGGGGUAGAAUUCCACGUGUAGCAGUGAAAUGCGUAGAGAUGUGGAGGAAUACCGAUGGCGAAGGCAGCCCCCUGGGCCAAUACUGACGCUCAUGCACGAAAGCGUGGGGAGCAAACAGGAUUAGAUACCCUGGUAGUCCCAUG